rnacentral:rRNA from 1 species
GCUAAAAAUCUAGCCCAAACUAACCCCUAUGCCUCCCCCUAUCUUAUUCUAUAAACUAAAACAUUUUACCAUUUUAGUAAAGGAGAUUGAAAAACUUUCUGGAGCAAUAGACAUAGUACCGUAAGGGAAAGAUGAAAUAAUAAUGAAAACCCUUAAGCAAAAAAAAGUAGAGACUUACCCUCGUACCUUUUGCAUCAUGGUUCAACUAGUUCAACCAAGCAAAAAGAAUUGCAGUUUGACUCCCCGAAACUAGGCGAGCUACUUCGAGGCAACUUUUUGAGUAAACCCGUCUCUGUUGCAAAAGAGUGGGAAGACCUCCAAGUAGCGGUGACAGACCUAACGAGCCUAGUGAUAGCUGGUUACUCAAGAAAAGGAUUUAAGUCCAACUUAAAGCCUUUUUAUUUUUCUAAAAUUCUUUCUAGGCUUUAAAGCAACUCAAAUAAGGUACAGCCUGUUUGAAAAAGGAGACAACCUCAACCGAUGGGUACAAUCUACUAUCCAACAUCUUCCCCUAGUAGGCCUAA